rnacentral:rRNA from 1 species
UCCGUAGGUGAACCUGCGGAGGGAUCAUUGCGCACCAAAAAUAUGAGGGUGUGGUUAGCUGGCAACAGCGUCCGCCCCAAGUAUUUUUCACCCAUGUCUUUUGCGCACUUUUUGUUUCCUGGGCGAGUUCGCUCGCCACCAGGACCCAACCAUAAACCUUUUUUUAUGCAGUUGCAAUCAGCGUCAGUAUAAUAAUUCAAUUUAUUAAAACUUUCAACAACGGAUCUCUUGGUUCUGGCAUCGAUGAAGAACGCAGCGAAAUGCGAUACGUAGUGUGAAUUGCAGAAUUCAGUGAAUCAUCGAAUCUUUGAACGCACAUUGCGCCCUUUGGUAUUCCAAAGGGCAUGCCUGUUCGAGCGUCAUUUGUACCCUCAAGCUUUGCUUGGUGUUGGGCGUCUUUUUGUCUCUCCCCUUGUUGGGGGAGACUCGCCUUAAAACGAUUGGCAGCCGACCUACUGGUUUUCGGAGCGCAGCACAAAUUUGGGCCUUCCAAUCCACGGGGCGGCAUCCAGCAAGCCUUUGUUUUCUAUAACAAAUCCCCAUUUUGACCUCGGAUCAGGUAGGGAUACCCGCUGAAAUCCGCAUAUCAAUAAGCGGAGGA